UACACUCCUGCGGGAGGCAGCAGUGGGGAAUUUUGGACAAUGGGCGAAAGCCUGAUCCAGCAAUGCCGCGUGUGUGAAGAAGGCCUUCGGGUUGUAAAGCACUUUUGUCCGGAAAGAAAUCCUUGGCUCUAAUACAGUCGGGGGAUGACGGUACCGGAAGAAUAAGCACCGGCUAACUACGUGCCAGCAGCCGCGGUAAUACGUAUGGUGCGAGCGUUAAUCGGAAUUACUGGGCGUAAAGCGUGCGCAGGCGGUUUGCUAAGACCGAUGUGAAAUCCCCGGGCUCAACCUGGGAACUGCAUUGGUGACUGGCAGGCUAGAGUAUGGCAGAGGGGGGUAGAAUUCCACGUGUAGCAGUGAAAUGCGUAGAGAUGUGGAGGAAUACCGAUGGCGAAGGCAGCCCCCUGGGCCAAUACUGACGCUCAUGCACGAAAGCGUGGGGAGCAAACAGGAUUAGAAACCCGUGUAGUCC
rnacentral:rRNA from 1 species